UACGACUACAUAUCAGGCAUAUCAAUAAGCGGAGGAAAAGAAACUAACUAGGAUUCCCUCAGUAACGGCGAGUGAAGCGGGAAGAGCUCAAAUUUGAAAUCUUCAAGGUUUUACCUUGACGAAUUGUAGUUUAAAGAAGUGUUUUCUGUUAGGUGUAGUGGCUAAAAGUUCUUUGGAAUAGGACAUCAUAGAGGGUGAGAAUCCCGUAUUUGGUACCAUUCCUUCCUAGCGUUGUGAUACACUUUCAACGAGUCGGAUUGUUUGGGAAUGCAGUCCAAAAUGGGUGGUAAACUUUCAUCUAAAGCUAAAUAUUGGCGAGAGACCGAUAGCGAACAAGUACCGUGAGGGAAAGAUGAAAAGAACUUUGAAAAGAGAGUUAAACAGUACGUGAAAUUGUCAAAAGGGAAGCGUUUGACACCAGUGUUGUUUUCUCGAAAAUCAAUUAAAAAUAAGCUUGAUUUUGUGUUGUAUUGACCUUAAAAGCUUUCUUCACUUUUUUCAUGCCUUUUUUAAUGCACUUUUCGUUUAACAAGUCAACAUCAGUUUCUUUUGUUGUAAAAAGGUCAUUGGAAGGUGGCUUUCACUUCGGUGAAAGUGUUUAUAGCCAUUGGCUUCUGCAAUCGGAGAGAUUGAGGUCUGCAGCGUAGAUCCUUCGGGGUUAGAUACGUAGAUGCUAAGUUAUAGUUUUUCAUAGACAACUUGUUGACUAUGAUUAAUCAUGUAGCUUACUCGUUUGCGCUAUUUUACCUACGCUUAGGAUGUUGAAUCUGUGCGAGACUAC
rnacentral:rRNA from 1 species